AUUGAACGCUGGCGGCAGGCCUAACACAUGCAAGUCGAGCGGAUGAAGGGAGCUUGCUCCUGGAUUCAGCGGCGGACGGGUGAGUAAUGCCUAGGAAUCUGCCUGGUAGUGGGGGAUAACGUCCGGAAACGGGCGCUAAUACCGCAUACGUCCUGAGGGAGAAAGUGGGGGAUCUUCGGACCUCACGCUAUCAGAUGAGCCUAGGUCGGAUUAGCUAGUUGGUGGGGUGAAGGCCUACCAAGGCGACGAUCCGUAACUGGUCUGAUAGGCUGAUCAGUCACAUGGGAAGUUGGACACGGUCCAGACUCCUACGGGAGGCAGCAGUGGGGAAUAUUGGACAAUGGGCGAAAGCCUUAUCCAGCCAUGCCGCGUGUGUGAAGAAGGUCUUCGGAUUGUAAAGCACUUUAAGUUGGGAGGAAGGGCAGUAAGUUAAUACCUUGCUGUUUUGACGUUACCAACAGAAUAAGCACCGGCUAACUUCGUG
rnacentral:rRNA from 1 species